CCACGACUGUGACAAAAAUAGCGGCGCAACGGUGAAGUUAGAACAUAACGUAUCAACGAGGGGCUUCUCGGAGGAAUAAUUGGAGGUACGUUUUAGAAGUCUUGGCGAGGUGUCUAUUUUUCCGAACCCCCUGAACUUCUAAAGCACGAUGCUGCAAAUUGACGCCGUCCGAUUAAAUAUCAUCACCAGAAUUUCCUUUGGGAAUUACACUGGAAAUGGUGGAGUUUGAUUUUUUGUAGCUCUUGCAUUCGAGGUCCAUCAUAUUACCAAGCAAAUUGGGAAAUUGGUGCCUUUUGUCAUCAAAUAUGAGGUUUUCGAAGCUUUCUAGAACCAUAAAUUCCUGUUGUUGUUUUUUUGAAAUUCUAAAAUUAAAUUUAUUUGUUUAGUCUAACCAUGAGCAUAGGGUAUUGUGAAUUUGAUUUAGAAAUAAGAGAGAAAAAGAAAAUUGAAGAAA
rnacentral:lncRNA from 1 species